AUUGAACGCUGGCGGCAGGCCUAACACAUGCAAGUCGAGCGGAUGAAGGGAGCUAGCUCCUGGAUUCAGCGGCGGACGGGUGAGUAAUGCCUAGGAAUCUGCCUGGUAGUGGGGGAUAACGUCCGGAAACGGGCGCUAAUACCGCAUACGUCCUGAGGGAGAAAGUGGGGGAUCUUCGGACCUCACGCUAUCAGAUGAGCCUAGGUCGGAUUAGCUAGUUGGUGGGGUAAAGGCCUACCAAGGCGACGAUCCGUAACUGGUCUGAGAGGAUGAUCAGUCACACUGGAACUGGGACACGGUCCAGACUCCUACGGGAGGCAGCAGUGGGGAAUAUUGGACAAUGGGCGAAAGCCUGAUCCAGCCAUGCCGCGUGUGUGAAGAAGGUCUUCGGAUUGUAAAGCACUUUAAGUUGGGAGGAAGGGCAGUAAGUUAAUACCUUGCUGUUUUGACGUUACCAACAGAAUAAGCACCGGCUAACUUCGUG
rnacentral:rRNA from 1 species